rnacentral:rRNA from 1 species
UUGGAGGGCAAGUCUGGUGCCAGCAGCCGCGGUAAUUCCAGCUCCAAUAGCGUAUAUUAAAGUUGUUGCAGUUAAAAAGCUCGUAGUUGAAUUUCGGGGUUAGUAGGUUGGUCAUGCCUCUGGUAUGUACUGGUCUCACUGAUUCCUCCUUCCUGAUGAACCUUAAUGCCAUUUAUUUGGUGUUUUGGGGAAUUUGGACUGUUACUUUGAAAAAAUUAGAGUGUUUAAAGCAAGCUAACGCUUGAAUACAUUAGCAUGGAAUAAUGAAAUAGGACGUUCGAUCCUAUUUUGUUGGUUUCUAGGAUUGACGUAAUGAUUAAUAGGGAUAGUUGGGGGCAUUAGUAUUCAAUUGUCAGAGGUGAAAUUCUUGGAUUUAUUGAAGGCUAACUACUGCGAAAGCAUUUGCCAAGGAUGUUUUCAUUAAUCAAGAACGAAAGUUAGGGGAUCGAAGACGAUCAGAUACCGUCGUAGUCUUAACCAUAAACUAUGCCGACUAGGGAUCGGAUGAUGUUAAUUUUUUAAUGACUCAUUCGGCGCCUUACGGGAAAC